rnacentral:rRNA from 1 species
UACGUAGUGACCGAGCGUUGUCCGGAUUCAUUGGGCGUAAAGAGCUCGUAGGCGGCUGUUCAAGUCGAACGUGAAAACUCGGAGCUCAACUCCGAGCCUGCGUUCGAUACUGGAUGGCUAGAGUCUGGUAGGGGGAUCUGGAGUUCCUGGUGUAGCGGUGGAAUGCGCAGAUAUCAGGAGGAACACCGGUGGCGAAGGCGGGAUCCUGGGCCAGUACUGACGCUAAGACGCGAAAGCGUGGGGAGCAAACAGG